rnacentral:rRNA from 1 species
UACGUAGGUCCCGAGCGUUAUCCGGAUUUACUGGGUGUAAAGGGAGCGUAGACGGCUUUGCAAGCCAGAUGUGAAAGCCCGGGGCUCAACCCCGGGACUGCAUUUGGAACUGUGUGGCUAGAGUGUCGGAGAGGCAGGCGGAAUUCCUAGUGUAGCGGUGAAAUGCGUAGAUAUUAGGAGGAACACCAGUGGCGAAGGCGGCCUGCUGGACGAUGACUGACGUUGAGGCUCGAAAGCGUGGGGAGCAAACAGG